AGUCGAAGAGGAAGAACAGGCAAUGAAGAAACUAUGACUCUUGGCUAUUCGUGAGGGUGUCGCACACAUCUUCGAAUCUUUUAAUGAUACCUUCAUUCAUGUAACAGAUUUGUCUGGACGAGUAACACUUGUUCGCAUCAUCGCUGGUCAGAUUAUGUUGGUGAGGUUGAUGGUGUGCUGACUGAGAAGAACUCUUUGGGUUGUAAGAAGGA